UACGUAGGGCGCAAGCGUUGUCCGGAAUUAUUGGGCGUAAAGAGCUCGUAGGCGGCUUGUCGCGUCGGAUGUGAAAGCCCGGGGCUUAACCCCGGGUCUGCAUUCGAUACGGGCAGGCUGGAGUGUGGUAGGGGAGAUCGGAAUUCCUGGUGUAGCGGUGAAAUGCGCAGAUAUCAGGAGGAACACCGGUGGCGAAGGCGGGUCUCUGGGCCGAUACUGACGCUGAGGAGCGAAAGCGUGGGGAGCAAACAGG
rnacentral:rRNA from 1 species